rnacentral:lncRNA from 1 species
CCCCAACCCAAGGCUAGGUGGGUGGCCACCUGGCACCAGGACACCCCUGUCACACAGGGGACAGCUGGGCUCAUUAAAUUUAACUCUUGAGAAUGUGAACCUAGGUGCAGACAAACUGUUGCCAGUGGGUGAUGGACAUGGGAGAUACAAAACCACGAAGAGGCAGUCAAGAGUUGGCCAAGGCCAGCCCACAUGUGGGCACAGCCAGGGAUGUGCAUGUGGGGGCGCAGAAGUUGUGUAUGCAGAGCCAGCUGGCAGAAGGUCAUGGGACAGCCCUGCCCUGGCUGCCCACUCACCCUCAAUGAAGCUCUUGGAGGGGUUGGCCGGCCGGCCAGGGGCACUGUGGAAGGCCCGCUCGAGGCUGUUGUGCUGCUUCGCCAGCUGCUCAAUGGUUUCCUCCAAGUGCACGCGCUGCUCCUGCUCAUACUGCAGUGCCCGCUGCCAUUUCCGACUGUGUAUCUCUGCUAGUUCCAAGAAGUCCCUGCAGGCCUGGGGAGGGAGGAGUGGCGGUAUGAGACCCUGGCCUCUGGCAGGGGCCCAUCUGUCAGAGGCAUGUGAACCAGAGCAACUCCACCUUAAACAGGAGCUGGGUAAGAUGAGGCUGAAACCUACUGGGCUGCAUUCCCAGACAGCUAAGGCAUUCUAAGUCACAGGAUGAGAUACAAAAUACAGGUCAUAAAGACCUUGCUGAUAAAACAGGUUGCAGUAAAGGAGCCGGCCAAAACCCAUCAAAACCAAAAUGGCGACGAGAGUGACCUCUGGUCGUCCUCACUGCUACACUCCCACCAGCGCCACAGUUCACAGAUGCCAUGGCAACAUCAGGAAGUCAUCCUCUAUGGUCUAAAAAGGGGAGGCAUGAAUAAUCCACCCCUUGUUUAGCAUAUCAGCAAGAAAUAACCAUAAAAAUGGGCAACAAGCAGCCCCGGGGGCUGCUCUAUCUAUGGAGUAGCCAUUCUUUUAUUCCUUUACUUUCUUGAUAAACUUGCUCUCACUUUGCACAGCAGACUCGCCUUGAAUUCUUUCUUGUGUGAGAUCCAAGAACCCUCUCGUGGGGUCUGGAUCAGGACCCCUUUCCUAUAACACAUCUGCUCCCCCACCUCCAUUCCCUGUGAGGACUAAGCUCUGAUAUUUUUUAUCUUGCCCAAAUUCCUAUCUAAGGCGUCUGGGGAGUCAUGCCCUAAAAACCAUACAUUCUCAUCAGAUGGGCUUUAUUUAGCCCUAUAUAUCGUGACUUACUUUCCAACCUGACUCUGGCAUAACAUUACGAGUCAAGGAAGAAAAAGUAUUUCAUCCCAAAACAUGCUUCUUUGCCAUAUUUUGAAGUGGCCCUGCAAAGCUGUCCUUUGUGGGGGAAAACGUGCAUCUGUAAAGAAUCUCUAUUCACAGAGCUAGAUCGUUUUCUUCCAGGCCCUCCCAACCCUGAAGAGAUGAAGUAAGAGUCUUAGCACCUUUUUAAAGGUCUGAUUAGGAAACAUUUGUCAUCUAUUGUCUCCAAGGGGAGCCACUAUAAGACUUAAAAAGAACCUUGGUCUCCACAAUCUUUCAUCUUAACCUGAACAUUUCCUUUCUAUUGAUCCCAGGUCUUUAGACAACUCAACCAAGUGCCAACCAGAAAAUGUUUAAAUUUACCUAUAGCCUGGAAGGCCCCCUCCCCACCUUGCUUUUGAGCUGUCCCGCCUUUCUGAACCAAACCAAUGUAUUUCUUAAAUGUAUUUGAUUGCUGCCUCAUGCCUCCCUAAAAUAUAUAAAACCAAGCUGCGCCCCAACCACCUUGGGCACAUGUUCUCAGGACCUCCCAAGAGCUAUGUCAUGGCUGUGGUCACUCAUAUUUGGCUGAGAAUAAAUCUCUUCAAAUA